rnacentral:lncRNA from 1 species
AAGCCACUCAGCCAUAUAGCCAAACUACAUGCAGAGAUCCCCACUAAGGUUCCAUCUGCAAAAUCAAAUGGCAGCACAGAAGAACAGAGGCAAAUAAUAAUAAUAAUAAUAAUAAUAAUAAUAAUAAUAACAAUAAUAAUAAAAGAGAAAGGAAGAAGGAACGACAGAAAAACAAGAAGAAAGAGCUAAAGUUAGAAAACUACCAGGAAUACCAGAGGGGCCAGAAGCCAAAGAAGCGCAAAAAGGGCCAGAAGACCGAACAUGAGGCUGGUGGGGAGGACGCCACCGAUGCCAACGGCACACCAGAGAAGAAGAGAGCCCAUGGUGGACAGGCUUCUGAAGAGGGAGCAGACAGACAUGGGGCCCUGGGUAUGAUGCUAAUGAGGGGCAGACCAAGACAGCAGCAGGAAAACAGAAGCAGCAGAAGCACUCAGAAGUUGAGUCUGAUUACAAGGAAAAAAAAAUGAAGUUGCCAGGGCAACCUGAAGAGGGAGAACUGGAGGACCACGAGGCUCCAUCAAAAGGUAAAUUCAUUCAACUGGAAAGGGACCAUUAAAGCUGUUCUGCAACAGGCUCCAGACUGAACAACGCGUCAAGAAGCUAAAGAAAAGGUUAUAGCUGAGUACCAUGCAGUAAUGAGUGACCAUCACACAUCGGAGGAGGAGCUCCUGGCCAUCUUCAACGGGAAGAUCAGCAGGAACCCCACCUUUAAAGUGCUGAAGGACAGAGUUCAGCUUCUGAAG